rnacentral:rRNA from 1 species
AACUAACUCUUCAGCACACACACCACUGCAAAUGCUUACGAACAACACAUUAUCUAUACUAAAUCAUUCUUCCCUCAAGUAUGGGCGACAGAAAGAAGUCUUGUAGCUACAGAGACAGUACCGCAAGGGACUUCUGAAAAAGAAGUGAAACAACCUAAAAGACAAGAACAGCAGAGCUUCGCCCUCGUACCUUUUGCAUCAUGGAUUAACCAGCCUCCCCAAGCAAAGAGACCUUUAGUCUGACACCCCGAAACCAGGCGAGCUACUUCAAGUCAGCCCCCUGG